CCGUCCAAAGCGCCCUGAGCGACUGUUCCCGAGGGGAGGGUCCCGGAGGAGGGGCAGCCCGAGCCGGAUCAGGAAAACCCAACUCCGCUGGGCGGCGGGCCACGGCCUAGGAGAAGGAAACGGAAAUCGCUACGACUCCCUCCCUCGGCCUCCACAGGCCGGACGGUCCCCUCAGAGAAAACUUCGGGACCGGAACCAAAUGAAAAUCUUACCAAGCCACCUUCAAUUUCCUUGAGAAAAAUCAGGAGUUCAAGGUCAUCCCCAGCCUAAGAUGAAUGGGACCCCGUCUCAAAACAAAACAAACAAAAAUUCACCUCAAGCUACCCUCCUUUGUCUUUAUAGUGUGUACCUCCAUGCCCUGCUUCUGCUGUGCUGUUGAACUCGGGACUCUACAUACUAGCAGCCAGUUACGCGUGGAAACCACAAUAUAGAUCACUUUUCUGCUCAGAUCCCUUCGCUGGCUCUCCAGUUCACUCAACCAAAGGCCACCUCCAAAGAAUUAGUGCUGGCCCAUGUGACUGAUAGAAUACAGAAGUGGUGAUGCAUGACAUUUAAGAGGACCUUCACUAAGUCCCCAGUGCUCACAUAGUGAUUCCAAACCAUCUGUACCCCAGUUACUGGUGAUCUGAUGCCCACUCUAUGCCUGAAUCAUCAGGUAGUGUAAAUGAACUCUUGCAGCCUCACAUACAAUUAAGAAAAAAAGAAAGGAAGAAAGAAAAAAAACACUACAAAGAGCAGAGGCCUUUCUGUUGUUCACAGAUAAAGCCCAAGUGUUCACAACAACAUCUGAUGUGGAAGGCGUACAUACCUGCCAAGGAUCACACUGGUAUGUCAGAGAGGAUGGCCUUCGUGAAGAUCAUUUAUG